GAUGAACGCUAGCUACAGGCUUAACACAUGCAAGUCGAGGGGCAGCAUGGUCUUAGCUUGCUAAGGCUGAUGGCGACCGGCGCACGGGUGAGUAACACGUAUCCAACCUGCCGUCUACUCUUGGCCAGCCUUCUGAAAGGAAGAUUAAUCCAGGAUGGGAUCAUGAGUUCACAUGUCCGCAUGAUUAAAGGUAUUUUCCGGUAGACGAUGGGGAUGCGUUCCAUUAGAUAGUAGGCGGGGUAACGGCCCACCUAGUCAACGAUGGAUAGGGGUUCUGAGAGGAAGGUCCCCCACAUUGGAACUGAGACACGGUCCAAACUCCUACGGGAGGCAGCAGUGAGGAAUAUUGGUCAAUGGGCGAUGGCCUGAACCAGCCAAGUAGCGUGAAGGAUGACUGCCCUAUGGGUUGUAAACUUCUUUUAUAAAGGAAUAAAGUCGGGUAUGCAUACCCGUUUGCAUGUACUUUAUGAAUAAGGAUCGGCUAACUCCGUG
rnacentral:rRNA from 1 species